rnacentral:rRNA from 1 species
AACGAACGCUGGCGGCAUGCCUAACACAUGCAAGUCGAACGAGACCUUCGGGUCUAGUGGCGCACGGGUGCGUAACGCGUGGGAACCUGCCCUUAGGUUCGGAAUAACUCCCCGAAAGGGGUGCUAAUACCGGAUAAUGUCUUCGGACCAAAGAUUUAUCGCCUUUGGAUGGGCCCGCGUUGGAUUAGCUAGUUGGUAGGGUAAAAGCCUACCAAGGCGACGAUCCAUAGCUGGUCUGAGAGGAUGAUCAGCCACACUGGGACUGGGACACGGCCCAGACCCCUCGGGAGGCCGGCAGUGGGGAUUAUUGAACAUGGGGCGAAGGCUUGAUCCAGCAUGCCCGGGUGAGUAAUGAGGGCUUUAGGUUUGUAAGGCUCUUUUACCGGGAUGAUAAUGACAGUACCGGGAGAAUAAGCUCCGGCUAACUCCGUG